UACGUAGGUGGCAAGCGUUGUCCGGAAUUAUUGGGCGUAAAGCGCGCGCAGGCGGUUCCUUAAGUCUGAUGUGAAAGCCCACGGCUCAACCGUGGAGGGUCAUUGGAAACUGGGGAACUUGAAGACAGAAGAGGAGAGCGGAAUUCCACGUGUAGCGGUGAAAUGCGUAGAUAUGUGGAGGAACACCAGUGGCGAAGGCGGCUCUCUGGUCUGUGCUUGACGCUGAGGCGCGAAAGCGUGGGGAGCGAACAGGAUUAGAAACCCCGGUAGUCC
rnacentral:rRNA from 1 species